rnacentral:lncRNA from 1 species
AUGGGAAUCCUUCGAAUCUUCAUUCAAUUUCCAUCGCCUCCUUGUAUUUAUGUGGCAGGACUUUUAAAAAUGAAGCCUAUGCACAAUGAUGUAAUAAGCGUUUAUCAAACACCACUGGUCGGUGCUGGGGCCCUGGUGGUGGUGACCUGUCCCAGGUGCCACGCCCACGCCCCUCGCGCCGACCGACGACCGCACGCACGCACUCACGCACGCACGCACGCACGCACGCACGCACGCACGAACGUACGUACGACGCGAGCCCGAGGGCGACAGCAGCGCGCAGGCGCACGUAGGUCCCCGCGCUUUUCGGAGGCCGCCGGCGUCCCAGACCCGCCGCAGGAUAGCAGCAUCAAGGAGCAUUGUGUACAUGGAGAAGUGCACAGUACCUGGAUUGAAACUGCUCGUGUUCCAUUUCUGGUACCAUUCAUAACUGACUGUGUGAUCUCAAGUAAGUUCUUUAACUCUCUCAGCCUCAGUUUCUACGUUUGUGUGAUAAGGAUAAUGAUAGUUUUCAGAUUAUUUUCAUAUUCAUUAUUUGAUUUGAUUGUCCCAAUGGUUCCUCUCACUUUGCAGAUAAGAAAACUGAAGAACCACCUGGGCGCGGUGGCUCACGCCUGUAAUCCCAGCACUUUGGGAGGCCAAGGCGGGUGGAUUACCUGAGGUCAGGAGUUCGAGACCAGCCUAACUAAUAUGACAAAACCCCAUCUCUACUAAAAAUAUAAAAAUUAGCCAGGCAUGGUGGCAGAUGUCUGUAAUCCCAGCUACUCGGGAAGCUGGGGCAGGAGAAUCACUUGAACCUGGGAAGUGGAGGUUGCAGUGAGCUGAGAUAACGCCACUGCCCUCCAGCAGCCUGGGUGACAGAGUGAGACUCUGUCUCAAAAAAAAAAAAAAAAAAGAAAACUAAAGAACCGUCAGUGAUAGUAAAAAGUUCGCUUAAGCUCAUUCACCUAGUUUCUUUUACAGCUCAGACUUAAACCUCUUGUUCAUUUUGUUUUGCUUUAUGUAUCUAUAUUUCUUUUUCUGAUUAAUUUUAAAUCCUUUUCAUUUAAACCUUAUGAAUGCUUUCCCUACAGAUAAAAUUAUGUAAAACAAUUUACAUAAAAAAAUUAUGUAAAACUCAUAAAUUAUUAUUUAAUCAAGUCUUUAAUAUUGAAGACUUCGUAUUGAUAUGUCUUGAAUACUUACAAUCUAUAGUUAACUAGAUAUUUCUCUUAUAACCUGUCCUUAUAAAUCUAUAUUAUAAAUACAAAGUCCAGUGUCCCUUCCUUCAGAUUAGCAGAUAUUUAAAAACUAUAUUUAAAGUAUUAUGUCUUUGUUUUCUUCAUACUGAUUUUCAUUUUUAUUG